GCCAUAGAAUCUUGUCGACAUAAAAGAAAUGACUUAACCUACCAAGGAACUGGUAUAAAAUGAAGGCCAACCUAAUGCUGUGUGGUGCUGGGGAACAACCCUGUUCUGGGAAAGCUAACAAUGAAUGUUUGAUUGGUGUACUUACUUAUAUGCCUGAGGCUGCAUGAAGAUCUCUCAAAGAGGGGCUAUAAAAGGGAAAGCCUGUGCCAAGGAAAUGUGAAGAGAAUGUGGCCAGGGCCUCUCACAACUGACCUGCUCACCAGCACAGGCAGGCAAUACAGAACAGUCCAGAAUAAAAUGAAGUUCACUUUAGAGGUGUUUCCAUCAAUCAACAAUGAUCUCAGUGGAGAAGCAGGACACAUUUAUGAAUCAGAAUCGGACAAGAUUCUCAAACUGCCAGUGUGUGUCUCUGCCUCCACUAUUACCUGCCUACAGAGAGCACACGAUGCACUCAGACGCUUAUUACUGUGGAUGGGAGGAAGGAACAGAGGGUGCAAGUGUUUCAAAAAAAAUCGAACUUUAAGCCACAGGCUGAAGGAUCAGAUGUCCAGAAGUGGGGUAGAAGGCUUUUCUGAAACUUGGGAAUAUGAAUUCUCUUCCUUCUCUGCAAGAUGCUGUAGCUUUGAUUCUUCAGAAGAUGUGUCAUCUGGAGUAGCACCUGCAGCAUCAGGAACAUAG
rnacentral:lncRNA from 1 species